CGACGAGGCUGGGAUCCUGGUGCUGCUCCAGUAACAGAAGGAAGUAGAAGUCAAGCAGUGAGUGAUGGCAGCAGAGCUUGUCAAUGCAGGAUCACAGAAAAUCUGGCUGACAACGCUUUGCUUCUGAAACCCUUGGAUGCUUUUCAUCUAGGCUGCAAAGAAUCUCGCAAGCUGGAAAAAAUUCACAAGCCAGCCCUUGUGUCACCUCUAAUAGCUUGUUCUUCUUUUAAUAAAAUUAGCUUGUUGUUGUUGUGUAUCACAAACGUACCUGUGAGUGUUUUGAUUGGCACAGGGGGGCUGUUUUGCUAUUUUCAUAAAAAUCCCUUCCUUCUUUUAUUUUAAUGAAAUAUAAAUAAAAUAAAUGGUCAUUCCCAUAUGUGAAAUCCACCCAGGGUGUUCCUAGACAAGGGGACAUACAUAUUUAUAUGUUUCAGGGAGCUCACAUGGAUAAAUCUUUACUUUUCCCUUGGUCCUUUGACAAAGCUGUUCAGUUUGUGGUGUUGUCAGAGGAGUUGGGUUCAGUCACAGCUUGGUUGCACAGUGUGUAAUGUCCACAUCAAUGCUCCAUGGCAUGUCGACCCUCCCUCUGCUCCCCUCGCCUCCCAAUCCUCUCCAUCAUGAGGUCCCCUUCUGUGCCUAAGCGUCCAGACCUUCCCUGUGCAGCAGAAUCCCAUGCAGAAGCCAGACUGGCAGCACAAAUCCCAAA